GCCAGACUCCUACGGGAGGCAGCAGUGGGGAAUAUUGGACAAUGGGGGGAACCCUGAUCCAGCGACGCCGCGUGAGUGAAGAAGUAUUUCGGUAUGUAAAGCUCUAUCAGCAGGGAAGAAAAUGACGGUACCUGAGUAAGAAGCUCCGGCUAAAUACGUGCCAGCAGCCGCGGUAAUACGUAUGGAGCAAGCGUUAUCCGGAUUUACUGGGCGUAAAGGGAGCGUAGGCGGCCUGCCAAGUCUGAUGUGAAAUACCGGGGCUCAACCCCGGGGCUGCAUUGGAAACUGGCAGGCUGGAGUGCCGGAGAGGCAGGCGGAAUUCCUAGUGUAGCGGUGAAAUGCGUAGAUAUUAGGAGGAACACCAGUGGCGAAGGCGGCCUGCUGGACGGUGACUGACGCUGAGGCUCGAAAGCGUGGGGAGCAAACAGGAUUAGAUACCCUGGUAA
rnacentral:rRNA from 1 species